UACGUGUUCUAUUUGACACUACCCAAACGUCUAGCAAAAAAAUUCGGGGUCCAACAAAAUAUCUGGUAACCGAUCGGUUUCCAAAAUUUGGUUGACCAAUAAAAAUACAUUUGAUUCUAAUACACAACAUAUAACCACAAAUCUAUUUUAACAGUGAAGAAGUAAUAUAUAGCUUGAAUGACCAACUGGGCAUGCUUUAAUCUCUAAAUUUAAACCCUAAUAAGUCUAUCAAUCUUCAAAAGUUAGCGAUCUCACCUAUCACAAAAGAUUGGAUAAGAAGCCGCGACCGAGGAUGCAAGCCGUUCCUCGGAUGGAUCUGCUUCGGAGCCCACCGCCGGCCACGCACAUAGCGGAGGCCAGCCUCCACUCGCCGCCGUUCCGUCUCCAAUCAACCCCAGAGUACCGCCAUCUGCAACAGCCGAGCAUGCCAGGUCGCAGGGAGGUGGAUCGAUCAACCAACGUGGUCCUCUUUUUCUAGAAAAAUAUCAUGGUCUUUCCGGUGUUGAGUAAACAACAGCCGAUAGACGGCUUGCUAGAAGUAGCCGAAUAGGCCUAUAAUCCCACGUCAAUCAUGUCCACCUAACCCAUUUACUGAAGGAAAAGAAAGCCCAUUACCUGAUUACCUACCACAACCAGCCAAUCUGCCCGGGUAAAGCACGAGGCGUUGAUGAUUUUUCCCAGUAUAACGGGGCCAUCGUACCUAGCGCGUAGCGAGCGAGCCCGGGCAAGUGCCCAGGGUCGCCGGGCGCUGGCUCCGCCACUGUGUAUAACUAUGAUUCAAAUGUUAAAAGCUGAAGCACCUGCUCGAGCAUGCUAAAGUGCUAAUCAACCAGAACUGUUGGUUGCAAGCCACCAUUAGCAAUUUGGUCCCAGGCGGUGGUCAUUGCUACGACACACGUCAGCCAAAAUGAUGUGCUUUACACUUACAACGACUGAAUCAGAGCAAGCCUCCUGCCAGUUCCACCAGGUAACACUCUGCAGGUUGUCGAAAUAAGAUAGUGCUCUGUAGUGCAUUCCGAUUCAGCUGGGUACCCAGGAGCCCCAUGAACCUGCAGUAAUUUUUCAUCCCAUUGUCGACAAUUACAAGAAGGGACCCAACUUCAAGAGAGGCCAAAUGGUUUCUCCAUACGGCGGAAUAUCACAGUAGCAUUUCCUUGUAAAUUUCAGUGUUGCACUGUUUAAUCAGCUGCUCUCAUUCUAAAAAUUCAGUGAUGGUGGUAACGAGUACAGAGUACAGAGUACAGACACAUGUGCAAAGCUCAGGCAGAAUCAAUGGCUGGGACCGGGAGAUGAUCGUCGUUCCAAGUAGCCUCUUGGAUGGUCAUCGUAAGUACCUUCGCAUUGAAUUCUAGCAGCGAAGCCUCUUCAUUUCGAGCAGUGAUGUAGCCCGUAUUGGUAAACUAGCUCUUUGUGUGUGCUAGUACCUAACGAUCUCAUCCUUGUAUGAUUUGGACAUAUGCUAGAAUUUAUUCACUGCAUCAAGGGGUUAAGCACAGUAGUUUUGGGUUUCUACAGUUCCAAGGGGAUUCAGAGUUCCACCUCUGAGUAUUUGGAUCUUAUCUAACCAUGCUUUGAGAUUUAGAUGUGUUGGGGAAUGGGGAUUGCUAGUUCUUGCUGGGUAAUCAGAAUAAUGUUUGGGUUUUCCUCAAGGAUGUCAGACACUAUUACAGUCUGUUAAAUGCAGAUAAUGCUAUUCAUUUAUGAGAAUUAUUUAUUUACCUAGUGGAUCCCUAAUUGUAUAUCUGUCCCUAUCAAUGCAAAUGCUGAGCCAUGUUCCACUUUUACUGCUCUACGUUAUAUUUUCACUGCUGAAGAGGUUAGUAUGCUCCUUAUCUUUUUCACUAAUUGUCUUUUUCAUCGACAUUCACCGCAUUAUUUUUCCGUGUCAUUCUUCUGAAGAAUCUGAAGUUUCUGAACCUCUGUUGGUAAUGCUGCAGGGUUCUGGUGGCGAUGCCGAUUAUCGUCGAGAGGUUCGUGGACUGCACGGUAUCAUGGCUGCCGAUUUACGGAGAGGCAAAGCUGCUGCUCGUCAUCUACCUAUGGCACACCAGCACACGGGAUUUCAGGGUGCGGGGCACGUGUACGAUGGCUUCCUCCAUCCGCUGGUGUCGUGGCACGAGGCCGACAUCGACCGGGGCCUGCUUGAUUUGAAGGCGAGGGACGUGACGGCGUCACAACUUAAGGCGGUGGCUGCCAUCGGUCAAGUGUGGCUCGUCGAGGCUGCCCGCUGUGUUUCGUCGUAGCUACAUGCCACGAGAUCAGGCCGGGAAGGCGCCACACAUUGACGAGUGAGCCAAUUUUUGGAUCGGACCAUAACAACGUGUCCCAAUCUCUGAUGUCUAGAAGUAGUGGUAAAGUUUUGAAUUUGCAUGGCAAGAACCACUUGCGUCGGUAGCUGACACGCACAACAGUGUGUUUACACUCUUACUUAUGUAAAAGAUAUGUACAAUGAGGAACUGUGAUAGUAGAUACGACAAUUGUGUGAUAGAAUGGAAUUGAUUGAUAUA